CCCACCUGAGCGGCGCAUCCUCAGGGCCUGGGCCUGGCCUCCUUGCCUGUGAGAUGGCACUGUGACGGUGCCCACCUCGUGGGGUGUGUGAGGGCCGAGUGAAAUCGUGCAUUUGCGGAGAAGAAAGGAAGGAGAGCUGAGUGUGGUGAAAAAAGUGAAGAGUGCUGGCUUUGGAAGCAUGUAUGCUAAAAUUGGAACCACACAGAGAUGACCAUGACCCCUGUGCAAGGAUGCUGUGCAAAUUCAUGAAGCAUUCCGUAUUUUUAUAAGUAAAUAAAUGGAAAAAAGUGUAAAGAAAAAA
ensembl:lncRNA ATP1A1-AS1 ATP1A1 antisense RNA 1